GCGUCUGUAGCCUAGUCGGUAAAGGCAGCACUCUAGCUGCUGAGGUCGUGAGUUUGAAUCUCACCAGACACA
rnacentral:tRNA from 1 species